rnacentral:tRNA from 1 species
GCCGCUAUAGCUCAGUGGUAGAGCACUGGUCUCGUAAACAGGGGUCGUGAGUUCAAACCUCACUGGCGGCA